UUUUGUUUUUCCUGGUAGCCCACAGAGGCAUGAAGUGAGACCAGCCUGCUCUGAGAUCCUGAGUGAAUUUUCUGGAUGGUGGAGUCAUUUAGAAGCUGGCAGGGGAGCUGUGGUUGUUAUUUCCGACGCCUGGUUGUGAACAUGUGCCUGCUGACCACAUCUACCUUACCAGGAGGUGAAAAAUCAUGGAAUUACAGAAGGGGUCUAAUCCAGAAGAUCUGUGUGUCCUCGUGUAACAUCUGCUGGGAGCUCCAUUGAACAAUUUGUGUGAGGUCUCUGCUUCACAAGCUCUGGAGAAGAAUGCAGUGCUGCCCAUUUGCAGGAUUUAAAGAGGAAAUGGAUGGAGAACAUCAGGUCCCCAACCUUUGGGAAAUUCUGGCCCAGGAUCUUAUUCAGUAGAUGAACUUACUGUGUGCUGCACCAGGUAAAACAAUCCCUGUUGCAGUGAAAGGGACCAGCAUUUUUAUUGUUCACACCUUCCACUUAAGGUUUUACUUUGUGCAUCAUUAUUAUUACAGCAGUUAUGAGAAAAACUUUGUUGUACUAGUUAAACUAUACAAAUAAGUUUUUGUGAUGUGUGAAAUAGUUAAGUCCAAGCAAUCCUAAAUUUUGAGACCUGACUUCAAAUUCAACUCUGAAGUUAUUUAUUUGUUCAAGUAUAAAAUAAUAAAGGUUCCUGUCCAAGGCUCUUAAAUCAUAACUUUUUAAAUUAUAUGGUCAAUUAAGUUAGAUUUAACCUUAACAGAACUGAACUCGGUUCCAAAGGAACUUGCCAUUGCUUUUCAUCCCUUCACAUCUCAGAGUCCCUCAUCAAACAGAUGAGGCCCUAAGUGUGGGAUAUUUUGAAUU